rnacentral:rRNA from 1 species
UACAGAGGUCUCGAGCGUUGUUCGGAUUCAUUGGGCGUAAAGGGCGCGUAGGCGGCGGGGUAAGUCUGGUGUGAAAUCUAGGAGCUCAACUCCUAAACUGCACUGGAUACUGCUCUGCUAGAGGACUGGAGAGGAGACUGGAAUUCACGGUGUAGCAGUGAAAUGCGUAGAUAUCGUGAGGAAGACCAGUGGCGAAGGCGGGUCUCUGGACAGUUCCUGACGCUGAGGCGCGAAGGCCAGGGGAGCCAAACGGG